UCCGCAGGCGGGCAAUUAAGUCAGAGGUGAAAUCCCACAGCUCAACUGUGGAACUGCCUUUGAUACUGGUUGUCUUGAGUUAUAGUGAAGUAGAUAGAAUAUGUAGUGUAGCGGUGAAAUGCAUAGAUAUUACAUAGAAUACCGAUUGCGAAGGCAGUCUACUAACUAUAUACUGACGCUGAUGGACGAAAGCGUGGGGAGCGAACAGGAUUAGAUACCCUGGUAGUC
rnacentral:rRNA from 1 species